rnacentral:rRNA from 1 species
GACAGAGGCCUCAAGCGUUUAGGCGGAAUCACUGGGCUUAAAGCGUGUGUAGGCGGGUCGUUAAGUACCUUGUGAAAUCCCACGGCUCACCCGUGGAACUGCUGGGUAUACUGGCGAUCUUGGGCCAACUAGGGGCAACUGGAACAAACGGUGGAGCGGUGAAAUGCGUAGAUAUCGUUUGGAACGCCAAAGGUGAAAACAGGUUGCUGGGGUUGUGCCGACGCUGA